AGUUGUUGCAGUUAAAAAGCUCGUAGUUGGAUCUCGGGUGCCAGCGUAUGGUUCGCUUUACUGCUGUAACUAUACGUCUGGUCCUAAUUAAUCGGUUGGCCGAUUAUGUCCUUUAUUGGGUGUUUUCGGUAGCCGGUACGUUUACUUUGAGAAAAUUAGAGUGCUUAAAGCAGGCCUUACGCCUGAAUAAUGUUGCAUGGAAUAAUAGAAUAGGACCUCGGUUCUAUUUUGUUGGUUUUGUAGAGCAUUGAGGUAAUGAUUAAUAGGGACAGACGGGGGCAUUCGUAUUGCGGUGUUAGAGGUGAAAUUCUUGGAUCGCCGCAAGACGAACAACUGCGAAAGCAUUUGCCAAGAAUGUUUUCAUUAAUCAAGAACGAAAGUUGGAGGUUCGAAGACGAUUAGAUACCGUCCUAGUUCCAACCAUAAACGAUGCCAACUAGCGAUUAGCUGCUGUUAUUUAAACGACACAGCUAGCAGCUUCCGGGAAACCAAAGUUUUUGGGUUCCGGGGGAAGUAUGGUUGCAAAGCUGAAACUUAAAGGAAUUGACGGAAGGGCACCACCAGGAGUGGAGCCUGCGGCUUAAUUUGACUCAACACGGGAAAUCUCACCCGGCCCGGACACUGUAAGGAUUGA
rnacentral:rRNA from 1 species